UACUUAAUUAAUUCUACUAAUAGUUAUAUAUUUAUCUUAAAGAUUAAACUAUAUAUAUUUAAAUUUAAAUAAUUAAAUUGCAAAAUUGCGAAUAGCUUAUUAAAUUAAUUAUAGUUUAUUUAAUAGUACUUUACUAUAUAGAUAACUGUAGUAAUUCUAGAAUUAAUAUAUAUUAAAAACCCUAAUUUCGGAAGGGGUGUAUUUAUUAGAUUAAAAACUAAUACCCUUCGGGGCUAAUUAGUAAUUUAUAAUAAUUUUUCGAAUUGUAUAGCCUUACGUUAGUAAUAAUUUAUUUAAAUUUCUGCCCUAUUAAUUUUUAACGGUUAGAUCUUAGUUAACUAUAGUAAUAACGGGUAACGGAGGGUUAGGGUUCGACCCUAGAGAAGGAGCUUAAGAAACGGCUAUUAUAUUUAAGGAAGGUAGUAAGCGUGUAAAUUACCUAAUCCCAAUAUAGGGAGGUAGUAAUAAUAAAUAUUAAUAUAGGGCUCUUUUGGGUCUUAUAAUUAGAAUAAAUAUAAUUUAAAUCCCUUAAUAAAGAAUAAUUAGAAGGUAAAUCUAGUAUUAGUAGCUACGGUAAUUCUAAUUCUAAUAGCGUAUAUUAAAAUUAUUAAAGUUAAAAAGCUCGUAAUUGAACUUUAAGUUCGGCCUAUCGGUCUACUUCACUACGUAUACUAAUUAAGUUGGGCCUUUUUUCCUAAAGAACCGCAUACCCUUUACUAGGUAUAUCGGGGAAUUAGGACUUUUAUUAUAAAUAAAUCAGAUUGCUUAAAGAAGGCCUAUAUUUAAAUAUAUUAGUAUAGAAUAAUAGAAUAGGACGUAUAGUUCUAUUUUAUUAAUUUCUAGGACCGUUAUAAUAAUUAAUAGGGAUAAUUAGGGGUAUUAGUAUUUAAUUAUUAGAAGUAAAAUUCUUAAAUUUAUUAAAGACUAAUUAUUGCGAAAGUAUUUACUAAGGAUAUUUUUAUUAAUUAGGAACGAAAGUUAGGGGAUCGAAGAUAAUUAAAUACUAUUAUAAUUUUAAUUAUAAAUUAUACUAAUUAAGGAUUGGACGGUGUUAUUUUUUAAUCCGUUCGACACUUUACAAUAAAUUAAAAUAUUUAGACUCUUAGAGGAAUAUAAUUACAAGGUUGAAAUUUAAAGAAAUUAACGGAAGGGUACUACUAAGGGUAGAGCCUAUAGUUUAAUUUAAUUUAAUACGGGGAAAUUUACUAAGUCUAAAUAUAAUAAGGAUUAAUAAAUUGAGAGCUCUUUCUUAAUUUUGUAGGUAGUAGUAUAUAGCCGUUCUUAGUUAAUAGAGUAAUUUAUCUAUUUAAUUAUAAUAACGAACGAGACUUUAAUUUACUAAAUAGCCUAUAUUACUUUAAUAGUACGCUAGCUUCUUAGAGGGACUAUUAGUUUAAACCGAUAGAAAUUUGAAGUAAUAAUAGGUCUAUAAUGCCCUUAGAUAUUCUAGGCCGUACGUGCGCUAUACUAAUAUAACUAGUAAGUACUCCCUUAGCUGGAAGGUCCGGGUAAUUUUAUUAAAUUAUAUUGUACUGGGAAUAAAGUAUUAUAAUUAUUACUCUUUAACGAAGAAUCCCUAAUAAGUAUAAAUUAUUAGUUUAUAUUAAUUACGUCCUUACCCUUUAUAUAUACCGCCUAUUGCUACUACUAAUUAAAUAGUUUAGUAAGGUUUCCGAAUUAACUUAGGGAGGUCGGUAACGACUACCUAAGGCCGGAAAACUAUUUAAAUUCGGUUAUUUAAAGGAAAUAAAAAUUGUAAUAAAGUUUCUGUUAGUAAAUUAGUAGAAAGAUUAUUA
rfam:Neurospora crassa OR74A unplaced genomic scaffold supercont12.9, whole genome shotgun sequence.